ACAGACCCAUCAUGAUUUUUGUUGCUUUGAGGCAAUUUUUGUUUGCAAAAGUUUGAGACAGAUCUAUUUACAAAUCACGAUUUCUAGUGACGCACCCAGAGACACACCUCCAUUUCUCCUCUCCCCUUUUCUUCUCUUCGAUUUUCUCUGGAGGACAUCUUUUCGUGCCUUUGUUGAGGUCCCUUCUUCCUAAUGAAGUGGCGGACAUAGACGAAAAUGUGGAAGUCGAUAAGGUUGGCGAUGGGAGGGCACAGAGGAGGUCGUCGCUUAUGGGAAUGGUGUAGAAAAAUCCAAACUUUACCUUGGGAAAACAUUUGCGGAGGA
rnacentral:lncRNA from 1 species